AUUGAACGCUGGCGGCAGGCCUAACACAUGCAAGUCGAACGAGUGGCGGACGGGUGAGUAAUGUUGGGGAAUCUCCCUUAUGGCGGGGGAUAACGACGGGAAACUGUCGCUAAUACCGCAUACCAUAGGAUGAGCCCAGGUGGGAUUAGGUAGUAGGUGGGGUAAUGGCUUACCAAGGCGACGAGACCUAGUUGGUCUGAGAGGAUGACCAGCCACACUGGGACUGAGCCACGGCCCGGACUCCUACGGGAGGCAGCAGUGGGGAAUAUUGCGCAAUGGGGGCAAGCCUGACGCAGCCAUGCCGCGUGAAUGAAGAAGGCCUUCGGGUUGUAAAGUUCUUUCAGUGGGGAGGCGUUACUCACAGAAGAAGCACCGGCUAACUCCGUGCCAGCAGCCGCGGUAAUUC
rnacentral:rRNA from 1 species